rnacentral:rRNA from 1 species
UCCAAGGAAGGCAGCAGGCGCGCAAAUACCCAAUCCCGACACGGGGGAGGUAUGUUGACAAUUAAUUAACAAGCCAGGGCCCUAACGGGGUUUUGGAAUUGGAAUGAGUACCAAUGUUAAACACCUUAACGAGGAACAAUUGGAGGACAAGUCUGGUGCCAGCACCCGCGGUAAUUCCAGCUCCAAUAGCGUAUAUUAAAGUUGUUGCAGUUAAAAAGCUCGUAGUUGAAAUUGGGCGCUGGUGACCGGUCCGCCUCACG